GGAAAAGUGGGUAGAAGACAAGGAGGAGGAGGGAGGAGAGUACAGAAACAGGAGCCAGAACCAAUUUCAGAUUUUAAACCAUCAGCAUUCAGGCUGCUCUUCACUCCUCAUUUAUUAUAUCGAUUCUCCACCCAUCGCACUCACCAGUAGUGCUGUUUUUGGUCUCCAUCCUGUCCUCCCAUCUGCUCGGAGCCCGAGGAUUAUAUACUCCACUUCUCCUCAGCCUGCCCUUCAGUCUGUAUUCUCCAUCUCUUCGAAAUCUGGACCGGACUCUCCACUCUUGACCCUCUUUGGAAUAUACCCCUGGCAGCCUUUUCCCCGUUAAAUGACUAGGGUCGCCAAAAGUUCCCGUUAGAAGUCUCCCCGUGCUCUACGCCGGUUUCUCCGCCCACGGAUUUCCUUUAGUUUUCUGCGUAUGGUUUUUGUUAAACCCAGUUCCGU
ensembl:lncRNA